rnacentral:rRNA from 1 species
UACGUAGGGUGCAAGCGUUGUCCGGAAUUAUUGGGCGUAAAGAGCUCGUAGGCGGUCUGUCGCGUCUGCUGUGAAAACCUGGGGCUUAACCCCGGGCCUGCAGUGGGUACGGGCAGACUAGAGUGUGGUAGGGGAGACUGGAAUCCUGGUGUAGCGGUGAAAUGCGCAGAUAUCAGGAGGAACACCGGUGGCGAAGGCGGGUCUCUGGGCCAUAACUGACGCUGAGGAGCGAAAGCGUGGGGAGCGAAACAGG